CUCACAUUUCCAUGCUUUACUGUGAGUUGAUUCGGCGCCGAGUCUGUAUAAUGUGUGAAGACCUUAAUACUG